GAGUAUAUAGCUCAGUGGCAGAGCACUUACUGUGCAUGUGUGAGGCCCAGGGUUCAAUUCCCAGCACCCUCA
rfam:Ictidomys tridecemlineatus contig061071, whole genome shotgun sequence.